AAUUAAAUUAUAAAAUUAAAAAAACCCGAAACUGAGGGCUACCCCUCCCCCUUUCGUGUAUAGUUUGAUGGCUCAACCAUGCGAAUGUAAUCGCAUGUAAACGAUUUAAGCGGUCAUGAAUAGGCCGAUUUUAGUGAGAACACGCCGGGAAUGUCUUAAUCUCACUUUAUCACGUACCUCGCCACUAAUCUCGUAGAAACGUCCGCUACUCUCGGUCCAGACGUCUCUCGGUCCCCAUCCAUUCCGUGACGGAUGGUAUUAUAGUUCUUAAAAUAAAAGACAGACAGCACACCUUGAAACGUCCAACUGUUUUAUUUUGUACUCUUCAGACAUUUGUCAAAGUGGCUGUCAAGCUCCCUACCAUAACACCCAUCCAUCCAUUUCCCGAUCUGCUUUAUCCUCACCGGGGUCGAGAGGGAUACUGGAGCCUAUCCCAGUCGUCUUGGGGACACCCUGAACCGGUUGCCAGCCAAUCACAGGGCACACAGAGACGAACAAUCAUCCAUGCUCACACGCACACCCAGGGACAACACGAUCGCGACCAUGUAAAUUCGCUACGAAGGUGAUGCUCACACUCCUCCACGUCACGGCUUCAAAUACCGCUCUUAACUUUGUAUUUCUAUGUUUCCAUUUUUUGUAGCCAGUCGGAAGUUCUAAACGAGAUGUUUUGUUUAACGUGAGGAAUUGAACAGGUGUGCUGCAAUUGAACAAUUUCUACGUAUCUGGUGUCGAAUAUGCAGGAAGGAAACACAAAAUGACCGGACUCCCGAGCCAGUCAAUUUGGAAGCCAGUUAACCAUUCAGACAGGUUUUAACGUUUGCCUGACGUUAGCAACUAUGCUAAAUGUUUGCGUUGCUCUCAUGAACGAUUUACUGCUGCCGUUUUUUGCGUAAAAAACACACAUAGUUUGCACGAUAUUGUAUUACUAUUUAGCUGUUACAUAUUGUUGAAAAAGUACACAAAUGACAUUCUGGGAAACUGACAGCAACAUCUUGAUCGUUUCUUACGUGUCCCAAAACCAAUUCAUCUGUCAUUUGGUGAUUCAUGAAUGGAGGGAUCCAAGGUGUACCACACCUCUCACCCAUUCAGCCGACUACCCGGCAAUAUACGGAGGAUUAGUCGGAAAGAAGCCUUUGCCAUCUCCCAGGAGGAGGAGGAGGCUGAGGAUGGCAGGUUGCAGCACAU